rnacentral:snRNA from 1 species
GUGCUUGAUUCAGUAGCACAUAUACCCAAAUUAUAGUGAUACAGAGAAGAAUAGCAUGGUCCCUGAGCAAAGAUGACAUACAGAUUCAUCAAAUAUUCCAUAAAUAU